rnacentral:piRNA from 1 species
UGUGCAGUUCAAGGACGACCCCUGGAC